GAAGAACGCUGGGGGCGUGCUUAACACAUGCAAGUCGAACGGUGAAGCGCCUUCCUUUUUGGUGGGUGUGGAUGAGUGGCGAACGGGUGAGUAACACGUGAGUAACCUGCCCCCUUCUUCUGGAUAACCGCAUGAAAGUGUGGCUAAUACGGGAUACUCUGGGUCUGUCGCAUGAUGGGUCUGGGAAAGAUAUUGUUUCGGUGGGGGAUGGGCUCGCGGCCUAUCAGCUUGUUGGUGGGGUGAUGGCCUACCAAGGCGGUGACGGGUAGCCGGCCUGAGAGGGUGGACGGUCACACUGGGACUGAGACACGGCCCAGACUCCUACGGGAGGCAGCAGUGGGGAAUAUUGCACAAUGGGCGCAAGCCUGAUGCAGCGACGCCGCGUGAGGGAUGGAGGCCUUCGGGUUGUGAACCUCUUUCGCCAGUGAAGCAGGCCUGCCUCGUUUGUGGGUGGGUUGACGGUAGCUGGAUAAGAAGCGCCGGCUAACUACGUG
rnacentral:rRNA from 1 species